UGGGGAAUUUUGGACAAUGGGCGAAAGCCUGAUCCAGCAAUGCCGCGUGUGUGAAGAAGGCCUUCGGGUUGUAAAGCACUUUUGUCCGGAAAGAAAUCCUUGGCUCUAGUACAGCUCGGGGGAUGACGGUACCGGAAGAAUAAGCACCGGCUAACUACGUGCCAGCAGCCGCGGUAAUACGUAGGGUGCAAGCGUUAAUCGGAAUUACUGGGCGUAAAGCGUGCGCAGGCGGUUUGCUAAGACCGAUGUGAAAUCCCCGGGCUCAACCUGGGAACUGCAUUGGUGACUGGCAGGCUAGAGUAUGGCAGAGGGGGGUAGAAUUCCACGUGUAGCAGUGAAAUGCGUAGAGAUGUGGAGGAAUACCGAUGGCGAGGGCAGCCCCCUGGGCCAAUACUGAUGCUCAUGCACGAAAGCGUGGGAGCAAACAGGAUUAGAUACCCUGGUAGUCCACGCCCUAAACGAUGUCAACUGGUUGUUGGGGAUUCAUUUCCUUAGUAACGUAGCUAACGCGUGAAGUUGACCGCCUGGGGAGUACGGUCGCAAGAUUAAAACUUAAAGGAAUUGACGGGG
rnacentral:rRNA from 1 species